rnacentral:sRNA from 1 species
UUGAUUGCUAUAUGCUAAGAUAUAUGGGGAAAAAAUUAAACUGUGGCUGUGUUCACAUGGGGUUAUUUUACGGUUAACGAUGAUUUGGGAGCGAUGAAACGAAGUGAAAGUCGUGUUCGUUUGAUAAGAACCGCGCGGAAGGAAUGGGAGGCAAUUGCGGGAUGAGGACCUUUUUCGUCACCCGGGGGAAAGCGACGAUUUGGAGGGAUCCUAGACGAAAUGUCUCAUGUGCCCCUCAAACAUUUCCAAAUUCCAUGCAUUGAAACCGAAAAUUUGGCUACUGUGCAUCUGAGUUAUUCAAAGCUGUAAAUGGCAGAGAUUCCUGAGGGUUAGCUUAUUACAGGUCUUCAACAGUGAAGAUUCUCUUGAACAGUGAAUAUUCGCUUCAACAUAGACGAUUCUCGCAUGCAUUAGUCACACAAUACAGAGGCACUAGCUUUUGACCGUGUUGAAGAACUAUUAAUAUGUGCUGCGUGUGUGGUUGUGGGGGUCUUAAUUAAUCCAACCAUGACAGCAUUCAGCCAGGAAGAACACCAUUGUGAUGUGCAAGUGAAGGAGGUGCUGCAACUGAGUUUGAGUGCGGAGGAACACACAAAGGUUUGGUGAUACCGUAUUAGUUGAUAUACAUAGACAAGAGGUGGAACGUCCAUAAUCAGUGAUUGUUUGACUACAUUGGUUGGAGUUUCAGUGAAAUCUUUCGUCUUUUUAUUUGAUCAUUUCCACU